ensembl:snRNA U6 U6 spliceosomal RNA
GUGCUCACUUCAGCAACACAUAUACUAAAAUUAGAAUGACACAGAGAAGAUUAGCAUGGCUCCUGCAGAAGGAUGACAUGCAAAUUCGUGAAGCGUUCCAUAUUUAU